rnacentral:lncRNA from 1 species
ACGAUUCAUGAAAUCAUAACUGGAGGAAAUCAAGUCAUAUAAAACAUAUGAUCAUGGCUUUGAAUUCUCCUCUAACUAUAAAGAAAUUAGUUCCUCAUGUUCGCAAAUAAACAAAAACAAAUAAAUCUAAACAUUGACAUAAAGAUAGAAAACACCUAGAAACGCUCCAACAAUCCAAGCUCCUUGAAUGGCAUGCACGGCUCCAAGAGUCUCCUUCUUCCUCCUUUGCAAACUCACGGCACACAAGGGAUGAUUGGGUGAAUGAUGUAGUGAAAAUCUGGUAGAAGGUGGUGUCUAAUGGUGCGGCAAAGGGGUGUAUUUAUAGGCUGAAAAUCCAGCCCCUAGGUAGCAAAGGAAAAGGUUUUAAAGGCCUAAGUUGCAUAGGAAAAUAAAACACAAUCCUUGAAGGAAAACAAAUCAGAAAUCCAAAGGGAAUGAGGGGAUAAGGUGCGGCACCAAACCAGGAAAGGAUAAGGGCUUCUAGAAACCAAAAUCCAAAGGGAAUUAGGUGAAACUCACGGCACAAAGUGGAGGGAAAGCGGCUGACUUGCAAUUCAAGGCCAAGGUCUUCUAGAAAAGUUCUAGGCGCCAUUUUUUGUAGGAAAGGAUUAGGUUUUCUAGAAAUCUGAUUUUAAGCAUCCUAAUCUAGCUAGGAAUCCUCCCAAGUAGCUGAAAUGUAGGUGGAUUAGGAUUAGGAUAAGAUAAGAUAGGUUUGGAUAGGAUAGGGUUUGGAUAAUGUUUUGGAUAAGGUUUCUUCACUUGAGCUGAUUCUUUGGCUUUAACUUCCCUUCUUCAAGUAGGAAACCUUGUUUGAGUAGGAAACUUCAAUCUUCUAGGAAUCCAACUUCACUUAGGAAUCAUUCCUCAACUAGGAAUCCAUGUUUGACUAGGAUUUCAUCUUCAAUUAAGCGCUUUCCCACUUCAAUUAGGAAACUUUGCCUCUUUAAGUCUUCAACUUUGAAACACAUUCCUAGCUCUUCAAUCCUUCAAAUUCGUCCAUUCUUUGUGUUCCACAUGCAUGAACUCCAUUCUAGCUCAAUUUUGCUCCAAAAUGCUCCAAAUUGCAUCCUUUUGCUUACUUUGUCCUUAAAACCUGAAAACACAUGAAAAUAGCUUAAAAGACUAACUUAACAAAGAAAACACAACAUAAAUGCAUAAGAACUAACUAACUAAGGUGCAUAAAUAUGCUCCUAUCACUGAGCAGCCCAGCUUUUGAGAAAGCAAACGCCUUUUCGAUUUCUGAGCAGGCGCCUUUUCAAUUUCUGAAGCUCCAUCGAGUGCGGAUUUUUAUAGAGGCUGGUAUUAAGUUCCAAAGCAC